UAUGACCUUAGGCUAAUGCCAGGAGAUGGGAGAGAGAGAGAGAGAGAGAGAGAGAGAGAGAGAGAGAGAGAGAGAGAGAGACUGACUAGCCAAUGUGUCAACUAAUUCCACGAGAAAGAUGUUCUUUGUAUCCCCAGGCCCUGAUCUAAAUUGAGAAUCUAAUAAGGUGCAAUUGAAUAUAAAGGCAAGUGUAAGAGAAAUCCGUACAUGACAGCAACAUCCUUUAUUAACUACGUUGGACAGUGCCAGCCCAUGGCAUUUUGCUUUCUGAGGCAGAGUACCAAAUGGCAUCUCCUUUAUCUCUCCUGCCCCCGUUAAAAUGCCUCUCUAUUUCUUCCUUCUUUCAAA